ACGCUCGACACCUACGGAGGCAGCAGUAGGGAAUCUUCCACAAUGGGCGCAAGCCUGAUGGAGCAACACCGCGUGAGUGAAGAAGGGUUUCGGCUCGUAAAGCUCUGUUGUUGGAGAAGAACGUGCGUGAGAGUAACUGUUCACGCAGUGACGGUAUCCAACCAGAAAGUCACGGCUAACUACGUGGCAGCAGCCGCGGUAAUCUGAGCGGGCUGGCAAGGC
rnacentral:rRNA from 1 species